rnacentral:rRNA from 1 species
CCACGCCCGCUCAAGAAACUUAAAGGAGUCGACGGGGCCCCGCACAAGCAGCGGAGCGUGUGGUUUAAUUCGAUGCUACACGAAGAACCUUACCAGGGUUUGACAUACAAGUAGUAGGGAAAGGAAACUGGACCGACCCUUCGGGAGCUUGAACAGGUGCUGCAUGGCUGUCGUCAGCUCGUGUCGUGAGAUGUUCGGUUAAGUCCGCUAACGAGCGCAACCCUCGCUGUGUGUUACAAGUGUCACACGGAACUGCCGGUCAUAAACCGGAGGAAGGUGGGGAUGACGUCAAGUCAGCAUGGCCUUUAUAUCCUGGGCUACACACACGCUACAAUGGGAAGGGACAAUAGGUUGCGAAACCGCGAGGUGGAGCCAAUCCAGCAAAACUUCCCUCAGUUCAGAUUGCAGGCUGCAACUCGCCUGCAUGAAGUUGGAGUUGCUAGUAAACGCAGGUCAGCCAUACUGCGUUGAAUACGUUCCCGGGGCUU